CAAUAGCGUAUAUUAAAGUUGUUGCAGUUAAAAAGCUCGUAGUUGGAUUUCGGGGCAGCCUGGCUGGUCCGCCGCAAGGCGAGUACUGGUCAGCCGCCCUUCCUCUCGAAAGCCCCGACUGCUCUUCGUUGCAGUGGUCGGGUAGUUCGGGACGUUUACUUUGAAAAAAUUAGAGUGUUCAAGGCAGGCCUACGCCUGAAUACAUUAGCAUGGAAUAAUGGAAGAGGACCUCGGUCCUAUUUUGUCGGUUUCCAGGGCCGAAGUAAUGAUUAAGAGGGACAGUUGGGGGCAUUCGUAUUUAAUUGUCAGAGGUGAAAUUCUCGGAUUUAUGAAAGACGAACAACUGCGAAAGCAUUUGCCAAGGAUGUUUUCAUUAA
rnacentral:rRNA from 1 species